rnacentral:rRNA from 1 species
CGUGCUAAGGUAGCAUAAUCAUUAGCCUCUUAAUUAGAGGCUUGUAUGAACGGUGAAACAUUUCAACUUCUUUAUUAAUUAAUUUUUUUAAAUUUAAAUUAAGAAUAAAAAUGUUCUUAUAAAAAAAUUAGACAACAAGACCCUUUUGAACUUCACUUUUGUUUAACUGGGGCAGUUAAAAAAUAAAAAUCUUUUUUAAAUUCUUUUAAUAAAGAACCAAUAUAAUUGAUUAUAUGAACAAGUUACCAUAGGGAUAACAGCGUAAUAUUUUUUUAAAGCUCUUAUUAAAAAAAAUGAUUACGACCUCGAUGUUGAAUUAGUGUAACUUUAAUGCAGUAAUUUUAAAAGUAGGUCUGUUCGACCAUUAAAACACUACAUGAUUUGAGUUCAAAUCGGUGUAAACCAGAUUGGUUUCUAUCUUUUUAUUUCUUUUAUUUAGUACGAAAGGACCAAUAAAUUUAUUAUUAAU